UACGUAGGGUGCAAGCGUUGUCCGGAAUUAUUGGGCGUAAAGAGCUCGUAGGCGGUUUGUCGCGUCUGCUGUGAAAACUGGAGGCUCAACCUCCAGCCUGCAGUGGGUACGGGCAGACUAGAGUGCGGUAGGGGAGAUUGGAAUUCCUGGUGUAGCGGUGGAAUGCGCAGAUAUCAGGAGGAACACCAAUGGCGAAGGCAGAUCUCUGGGCCGUAACUGACGCUGAGGAGCGAAAGCGUGGGGAUCAAACAGG
rnacentral:rRNA from 1 species